CUACGGGGGGCACCAGUGGGGAAUAUUGCACAAUGGAGGAAACUCUGAUGCAGCAACGCCGCGUGGAGGAUGACACUUUUCGGAGCGUAAACUCCUUUUAUAUAGGAAGAAGAUGACGGUACUAUAUGAAUAAGCGCCGGCUAACUCCGUGCCAGCAGCCGCGGUAAUACGGAGGGCACAAGCGUUACUCGGAAUCACUGGGCGUAAAGAGCGUGUAGGCGGAUUAAAAAGUAAGAAGUGAAAUCCUAUAGCUUAACUAUAGAACUGCUUCUGAAACUCUUAAUCUAGAAUAUGGGAGAGGUAGAUGGAAUUUCUGGUGUAGGGGUAAAAUCCGUAGAGAUCAGAAGGAAUACCGAUUGCGAAGGCGAUCUACUAGAACAUUAUUGACGCUGAGACGCGAAAGCGUGGGGAGCAAACAGGAUUAGAUACCCCGGUAGUC
rnacentral:rRNA from 1 species